GCGCCCAUUGGAUGAACUAAGCCUGCCGAGUCAUUGUGGUAUACAAGGCAGACGGCUCAGUAACGCGUAGCCCUUUACCCUAUGGACGGGAAUAACCUAGGGAAACUGAGCCCUUUCCCGAUAGAACACUAUGCCUGGAAUGGUUUGUGUUCCAAAUGAUUUAUCGCCGUAGGAUGGGACUGCGGCCUAUCAGUUUGUUGGUGAGGUAAUGGCCCACCAAGACUAUUACAGGUACGGGCUCUGAGAGGAGUGGCCCGGAGAUGGGUACUGAGACACGGACCCAGGCCCUAUGGGGCGCAGCAGGCGAGAAAACUUUGCAAUGUGCGAAAGCACGACAAGGUUAAUCCGAGUGGUUUCUGCUAAAGGAACCUUUUGUCGGUCCUAGAAACACCGAUGAAUAAGGGGUGGGCAAGUUCUAGUGUCAGCCGCCGCGGUAAAACCAGCACCUCAAGUGGUCAGGAUGAUUAUUGGGCCUAAAGCAUCCGUAGCCUGCUUUGUUAGUUUUCGGUUAAAUCUGUACGCUCAACGUACAGGCUGCCGGGAAUACUGCAAAGCUAGGGAGUGGGAGAGGUAGACGGUGCUCGGUAGGAAGGGGUAAAAUCCUUUGAUCUAUUGAUGACCACCUGUGGCGAAGGCGGUCUACCAAAACACGUCCGACGGUGAGGGGAUGAAAGCUGGGGGAGCAAACCGGAUUAAAUACCCGGGUAGUCCCAACUGUAAACUAUGCAAACUCAGUGAUGCAUUGGCUUGUGAGCCAUGGAAGGCCGCAGGGAAGCCCUUUAUUUUUCCGCCCGGGAAGUAC
rnacentral:rRNA from 1 species